rnacentral:rRNA from 1 species
AUUACAGAGUUGCAAAACUCCCUAAACCAUUGUGAACGUUACCUAAACCGUUGCUUCGGCGGGCGGCGCCGGGGUUUACCCCCCGGGCGCCCCUGGGCCCCACCGCGGGCGCCCGCCGGAGGUCACCAAACUCUUGAUAAUUUAUGGCCUCUCUGAGUCUUCUGUACUGAAUAAGUCAAAACUUUCAACAACGGAUCUCUUGGUUCUGGCAUCGAUGAAGAACGCAGCGAAAUGCGAUAAGUAAUGUGAAUUGCAGAAUUCAGUGAAUCAUCGAAUCUUUGAACGCACAUUGCGCCCGCCAGUAUUCUGGCGGGCAUGCCUGUUCGAGCGUCAUUUCAACCAUCAAGCCCCGGGCUUGUGUUGGGGACCUGCGGCUGCCGCAGGCCCUGAAAAGCAGUGGCGGGCUCGCUGUCACACCGAGCGUAGUAGCAUACAUCUCGCUCUGGGCGUGCUGCGGGUUCCGGCCGUUAAACCACCUUUUAACCCAAGGUUGACCUCGGAUCAGGUAGGAAGACCCGCUGAACUUAAGCAUAUCAAUAAGCGGAGGAAAAGAAACCAACAGGGAUUGCCCUAGUAACGGCGAGUGAAGCGGCAACAGCUCAAAUUUGAAAUCUGGCUUCGGCCCGAGUUGUAAUUUGCAGAGGAAGCUUUAGGCGCGGCACUUUCUGAGUCCCCUGGAACGGGGCGCCAUAGAGGGUGAGAGCCCCGUAUAGUUAGAUGCCUAGCCUGUGUAAAGCUCCUUCGACGAGUCGAGUAGUUUGGGAAUGCUGCUCAAAAUGGGAGGUAAAUUUCUUCUAAAGCUAAAUACCGGCCAGAGACCGAUAGCGCACAAGUAGAGUGAUCGAAAGAUGAAAAGCACUUUGAAAAGAGGGUUAAAUAGCACGUGAAAUUGUUGAAAGGGAAGCGCUUGUGACCAGACUUGCGCCGGGCAGAUCAUCCGGU